rnacentral:rRNA from 1 species
GAUGAACGCUGGCGGCGUGCUUAACACAUGCAAGUCGAACGGAAAGGCCCAAGCUUGCUUGGGUACUCGAGUGGCGAACGGGUGAGUAACACGUGGGUGAUCUGCCCUGCACUUCGGGAUAAGCCUGGGAAACUGGGUCUAAUACCGGAUAGGACCACAUUUUGGAUGGUGUGGUGGAAAGUUUUGCGGUGUGGGAUGAGCUCGCGGGCUAUCAGCUUGUUGGUGGGGUAAUGGCCUACCAAGGCGUCGACGGGUAGCCGGCCUGAGAGGGUGUACGGCCACAUUGGGACUGAGAUACGGCCCAGACUCCUACGGGAGGCAGCAGUGGGGAAUAUUGCACAAUGGGCGCAAGCCUGAUGCAGCGACGCCGCGUGGGGGAUGACGGCCUUCGGGUUGUAAACUCCUUUCGCUAGGGACGAAGCGCAAGUGACGGUACCUGGAGAAGAAGCACCGGCUAACUACGUG